CGGAGGGUGCAAGCGUUAUCCGGAUUCACUGGGUUUAAAGGGUGCGUAGGAGGGCAGGUAAGUCAGUGGUGAAAUCUCCGAGCUUAACUUGGAAACUGCCGUUGAUACUAUCUGCCUUGAAUAUUGUGGAGGUGAGCGGAAUAUGUCAUGUAGCGGUGAAAUGCUUAGAUAUGACAUAGAACACCAAUUGCGAAGGCAGCUCGCUACACAUAUAUUGACUCUGAGGCACGAAAGCGUGGGGAUCAAACAGGAUUAGAUACCCUGGUAGUCCACGCCCUAAACGAUGGAUACUCGACAUACGCGAUACACAGUGUGUGUCUGAGCGAAAGCAUUAAGUAUCCCACCUGGGAAGUACGACCGCAAGGUUG
rnacentral:rRNA from 1 species